ensembl:lncRNA
AGAGCAAGUCGGAGAAUAGAGAGGUGUUUUUCUUUCUUUCAAGGGGGGUAGGGGAAGUAAGCCAAUAAGAACCUUUGAAACAAAUCGUCCUAUCACAAAAUGCUUUCCUAGGGCCUAUUUUGUCAGCACUGCGGUGUCUUUUGAGCUCUCUCUUUUUUUCCCACCUUUUCUUUUUUUUUAAGUAGAAAUUCCCUCCGGUUUUAUUAGCCUCUUUAUAUGUCUCAAAUUGCAUGAAUCUUUUCUGGCUGUUGGAAACCUGAAUGCUUUUAGACCCAAAUGGAAAAUUUCUGAAAUGCUGGAUUAUCUAUUUUUAAACAAGCAGUUGACUUAAAACUUUCUGUGGCAACUUCUGGUUUUCUGACGGUUCCCAAUGAGAGAAAUUCUGAAAGUACACUGGGAUCACUGGGACGCUGUCUUUGUGAAGGUUUGCUUGGGAUGAAAAAGGAUAUUGCAGCUUCAGCAGUGUUGAACUGUGUGUUGAAAAAUGUGAAUUACUGUUAUUGUAUACUGUAAUUGAUUACAUGGGCUGGGGGGGUGUCAAAGGACUUGACAGGUUGUGUUGAUGCUCUUAGUUGAGUCUUGAAAAGUAAAUAUUAACGCUACAGAAAUGCAUGAGUUUCAAUAUAUUUUUUGUCUUUGUUUGCAUUGUAUAACUUUAACGAGUGAGUUUAAAAUUAUUUAAUUUCCUUAGAAAAAUAGCACCAUUUGGAAAAAAAAAAAAACCUGGUGUUAUGAAGAACGUUAAUGCACUGUUUUUAUUUUAUAUAAUUUAAAUUGACUUUCCCACUGUCUUUAAGUUGAAACUGUUAAGCUGAAUAAAAACUUAAGCUGCAAAUUGAUAACUUCGCUACAUAACAAGGAAAAUAUAAAUGUUUACAAAAGGCUUAAAGAUUUGCAUGUGCAGUGUGCAUUUUAUAACAAAACUUCUAAUUGCACAAAACCCAGGCCAGCUCAAAGUUUAGAUGUACACAUUUACCCAGUUGAGCGUUUUUAGAGUAACUACUGCACAAAUUGACAAUAGGUCAUUCUCUUUUUUUGCUCCCCUUUUCUUUUUCUCCCCUUCUUCCUUUCCCUCCCUUCCUCCUUCCCUCCCGCCCCUCCCCCACCCCCCCCAAACUCAUGAAAAGAUUCUAUGGACUGAAAAAGCCCCAGGCUGAAAGGACUGGACUGCCUUGAUUGACAUGGGGAAGGGGGUUAGUAGACUAUGUGUAUCGCGGCAGCAGAGGCUGCAGCCCAACGUGUGGUUUUAAUGACCAGCACGCAGGGCAAAGCAUUUUGCACAGUGUUUGUUUUCCUGUCUUGCACUUACAAAUAAGGUCUAUGGGAGUAGCAUGGAAAACGUUUGCUGUUUUUCCCUUUUUUUUUUUUUAAUUGCUUUUGUUUAAAAUUUGAUCGCCUUAACUACUGUAAACAUAGCCUAUUUUUGUGCUUAAGAUACUGAAUGGAAAACUCCAUUGUGUGUUGCUGGACUGUUUUGGAAAUAUUUGGUCAAAUGUGUGUUAAUUUGGCUGUAAUGGCAUUUAAAGCAAACAAACAAACAAAAAAAGCUGUGAAAAUGGCCUUGGAGCAUUAUCUUUAGUUACUUGAAGAGUUUCUAGUUUUUUUUAAAUACAGUUUAUGUUAAAAUAAUUUUUAUUAAUUUAGAGAAGACAAUCAAUGUCUGUGAGAAAACGGACUUUCUUUUGGAUUUUCUUUUUGUGGUCAUUGUGAGUGAUUGCUUUUUCCUUUUAUUAGUUUCACAUUCUUCCUUUGUUCUAAAACUUAGACUGACAUCUAGCUUUGACAAUCAUAGUAUGUUUUAUUUUCCUGAGGGGGGAAUAACUUAUAAUGCUGUUUAGUUUUGUACUAUUGGUGUGUUGGUGAAUUUUUAAACUGUGUGCUAACUGCAAUAAAUUAUAUGAACU